CACCUGUAAUACACUUAAAAAAAUAUAUAUAUAUAUAUAAGCUCCAGUUUAUCACUCAGAGCUAAAAAGUGAUUGAGUACACUAGCAGCGAUCAUGUUCUCUUCAGGUACCUCUUUUUUUUCUUACUCCUGUUCAUAUAAUGCUUAUAUUUUAUUGUAUUUCCUGCUGUUUAAAUACUCCUAGUUAUUCCUUUUUACACUCUCAAAUAAGCCUGUUUGAUUAAUGCUUAUAUUUUACUGUAUUUCCUGUUGUUUAAAUACUCCUUGUUAUUUCUUUUUAGACUCUGAAAUAAGCCUGCUUGAUUCUUCUCUUUUGGAUCAUCUCGAUCAAAUCGACAUAUCGGAUUUGGACAACUAUGUUUUUUCGAGUUCACCUAGUUCUUCGCCCAGUUCUUCACCACCACCGGUUUUAGAGCGAGCUACAGGCAAGAACAUCCGUCUCUCGACCCGCGAGAGGCAGGCCUUGCUUUCUGCAAGGGCUUGCCCAGCUUCAGCUCCCCAGCGUCCCUCGGGGAAAAACCUGAAUCUAACCGCCUGGGAGAGGGAACAACUGUUCGCGGCACACGCUCCCAGUCCCGGCUUCGGAGCUUCUCCUCCUGCAUCGGGGCCAAGACAUCCACAGUCCCUGCCUCGGAGAUCCAAUCUAGGGCAUCUCAGAAGGAGGCGUAGGAGGACCAUUAGGCCACUCAGGACAAGGCAAACACGCAGACAGCGAAACCAGCUCGCCUCCAUCGCUCU